rnacentral:misc_RNA from 1 species
AAGUCGUAACAAGGUUUCCGUAGGUGAACCUGCGGAAGGAUCAUUCAUAAUUGGCUCUUGUAUGGGGAGCCCUCUAAAUAAAAACCAUACUUUGAUUCUCCACCUUGUGUGCAAUGUUUUUUUAUGGGAGAAAUCCUGUAAUUAUAUAAUACAUCAACCUCAUUCUUUUUUUUAUAUGUCUGUAAUAUAUUUUACGAAUUUUUAAUUCGAAAAAUACAACUUUCAACAACGGAUCUCUUGGCUCUC